UACGGAGGGUGCAAGCGUUAUCCGGAUUUACUGGGUUUAAAGGGUGCGUAGGUGGGUAAGUAAGUCAGUGGUGAAAUCUCCGGGCUUAACCCGGAAACUGCCAUUGAUACUAUUUGUCUUGAAUACUUUGGAGGUAAGCGGAAUAUGUCAUGUAGCGGUGAAAUGCUUAGAUAUACAUAGAACACCAAUUGCGAAGGCAGCUGGCUACACGAAUAUUGACACU
rnacentral:rRNA from 1 species